GGCGGCCUGGACAGCGCCGAGUUGGCGGCUGAGCUGGGCAUGGAGCACCAGGCGGUGGUGGGCGCCGUGAAGAGCCUUCAGGCGCUGGGCGAGGUCAUCGAGGCUGAACUUCGGUCCACCAAGCGCUGGGAGCUUACUGCGGAGGGCGAGGAGAUUGCCCGGGAGGGCAGCCAUGAGGCCCGUGUGUUUCGAAGCAUUCCCCCAGAGGGCCUGGCCCAGAGCGAGCUUAUGGUAGGAGCUGCGGGGUGAAUAGGGAGUGAGUGAUGGGAUGAAGGUGGCCCUCGUGCCCCACUCACUGCAGCCUCUCUUUUCCAGCGACUGCCCAGUGGCAAAGUGGGCUUCAGCAAGGCCAUGUCCAACAAGUGGAUCCGGGUGGACAAGAGUGCAGCUGACGGGCCACGGGUGUUCCGAGUGGUGGACAGCAUGGAGGACGAGGUGCAGCGGCGGCUCCAGCUGGUCCGGGGGGGACAGGCUGAGAAGCUGGGGGAGAAGGAGAGGAGCGAGCUGAGGAAGAGGAAGCUGUUGGCUGAAGUGAUCCUGAAGACCUACUGGGUGAGCAAAGGCAGUGCCUUUAGUACCAGCAUCUCCAAGCAAGAGACAGAGCUGAGCCCAGAGAUGAUCUCCAGUGGCUCUUGGCGGGACCGGCCCUUCAAGCCCUACAACUUCUUGGCCCACGGUGUCCUACCCGACAGCGGCCACCUUCACCCACUGCUCAAGGUCCGCUCCCAGUUCCGACAGAUCUUCCUGGAGAUGGGGUGAGCACAGGGCUGGGGACGGGGCCUGGUGCUUCUGCUGGGUACAGGCAGGGCAGUCAGGCUGCGUCUCCCACCAGGUUCACCGAGAUGCCGACCGAUAACUUCAUUGAGAGCUCCUUCUGGAA
rnacentral:sRNA from 1 species